rnacentral:rRNA from 1 species
UACAGAGGUCUCAAGCGUUGUUCGGAUUCAUUGGGCGUAAAGGGUGCGUAGGCGGCGCGGUAAGUCGGGUGUGAAAUCUUGGAGCUUAACUCCGAAACUGCAUUCGAUACUGCUGUUCUUGAGGGUUGCAGAGGAGACUGGAAUUCCCGGUGUAGCGGUGAAAUGUGUAGAGAUCGGGAGGAACACCGGUGGCGAAGGCGGGUCUCUGGGCAAUUCCUGACGCUGAGGCGCGAAAGCGUGGGGAGCAAACGGG